AUGGAGAGGAAACUGGGAGCUGUGCUGGGGAUUCUGUGGGUGCAGAUUUGCUGGGUGAGAGGAGUUGAGGUGGAGCAGAGUCCUCCAGCCCUGAGUCUCCAUGAGGGAACCAGUUCUGCCCUGAGAUGCAGUUUUUCUGAAACCCUGACAACUGUGCAGUGGUUCCGACAGAAUCCCAGGGGCAGCCUCAUCAAUCUUUUUUACCUGACUCCAGGAACAAAGGAGAAUGGGAGGUUAAAGUCAACAUUCAACUCCAAGGAGCGCUACAGCACCCUACACAUCAGGGAUGCCCAGCUGGAGGACUCAGGCACCUAUCUCUGUGCUGCUGAUGCACAGUGCUCCCAGCAAGCCUGCAGCCUGGCCCUAAACUGCAGCUGUGUGUGCAGCUACUGCCCUCACACAGGGAGACUCUGCAUGAGGCUUUUCACAGCUGUGUCUUUAUCAGAUCUCCACCAAUUACAGAGAAGUUCUGAGGAAACCCAAAAUUACCACAGCAGAAAUUCAUGGCUAAAUUCAGAUUAAUAUAGCACUGACUUGGAGAAGUUUAAAUGUUCAGAAACGUCAGCCAGUGUGACUAAAAUGAACACUUUAUUUAUCAAACGCUUGUGCUAAUGUCAUGAAAUAUAAACUUCUCUUACACAUUCCAGAAUUAUUUGGAUCAUUUCUCAAAGUUGAAAGUUUAAAGCAACUGUUUUCAUCCUUUGUUUAGAGAGCAUGAUACAAACAUUUCCAGCUCAUCUGUUCCAUAUGAAGUUGAUAAAAGAAUUAAAUUUGAAGAUCUGAUAGAUUAAGUU